rnacentral:miRNA from 1 species
GGAUGCGGGGCUGAGAGGUGAGGAGGCCGAGAGGUAGCUUCUUCCAUUCUCUUUCCCCAG